CUGCAAUGAGCCCUCCAGAAUGCAGACGUCUGGUCUGGUGGAACUCAAUAGAUUUCUGUUUGCUGCAUGUGCUGCGGGUGCACACACACACAUGCACAAAUGACCACUUUAUGAAAGCAUUUGCGUGCAAUAAAAAGUUAAUUUUUUUCACACUUAAAAUCAGCUUCGCCACCUGCAGUGAUUAUCAAGCAAGCUUCAUUUGGAGACAGAUUUGGAGGCUGGCGGCUCUUUGGCUCUGAGAAAAUCCCUGAAGAAAACAUCUUGGACACCCUGAGGCAUCACCUCACAAGUUGGACACCUGAAAUGCCUUCUAGCAGCAAAACUCAUUCAAAGGAAAUGACCUUCAGCCACAAGGUGCCCGAGGGGUGUGUGCCCACACAAACAUGCAGCACACAUGCAGCACACAGGUGGACUGCUGCAGUCCCAGAGAAUCGAGUAAGUAGGUGAUGCUAUGUAUCAAACAUGUCAUAAAUACAUUUUCAGCUAAAUUAACAGUAAGUUAUCAGUCAUAUUUUCUAGUUGUCUUUUACAGUCAAAUCUAUACCAAAAGCUUUAUGAUUUGAAACUGUUUUCCCAAUUUCUUUUGUCCCCCAGGGCUCUUGGCAAUAUUUUAAACCUUACAUCGUUUGCAAAAACAGUAAUAUUGCCAUUUCUGGUUAUUUUACAUGAAGCCUGUGUCUGAAAGGAGCCAGUCUGAAUUUAAAUGCUUGCUCCUUUCGCGUCCAAGGCGCCCUGUGAUAGCAGUGAGGAAUGUGGCUUGAGCCCAUCUCUGGGCAGCCUUUUCAACAAAUACCUCUGGCAGUGCUAGAGGUGGCAGCCCGUUCUCUAUAGAGAUAAGCACUUAGCAAAUGAAGAAAGCAAAGAGUGAAUGGGAUUCCUAAGAAUAUAGGACUUCCCCAUCACCACAAUGCCAUGCUGCUUUACGCUGAUGUAACUGCAAUAACACAAUGUUUGAUUGGGCUGUUUGGGUUUUUGUUCACUUUCUGCGUGACAGUUCUUUAAUUUGUAUUCUUUUGUGCUGGAUCCACGUAAAGCUUUAGGAUUGCAGUCCUGAUUUACUUUCUACCCAUCGCUUCCAGGUCUUUAAAAGCCAACUGGAAAGCAUGGGUUAUACCCAUUACAUGUUCAGACUGAGUAAAGGUAUCAGGAAGCAGAUAAUCAUGCUUGAUAUUGUAUAU
rnacentral:lncRNA from 1 species